AACUCACAACAAUGUCCCUUACUACCAUUGAUAAUAACAAUGCUGUGUACCUGCUAAUUUCUUUGAAGUUGUUUUAAACAAGGUAACUCAUAACUAAAUACUUAAUUUAUAAUAAGCAAACAAAUAAUAAAAUCUCCUUUCAGUAUUGAUGUUCGUAAAUUACUUGCUUUUGAUGAUGUUUCAGUGUCAUUCCACUUCGAAAUUAUAAAUAACGAUUCAAUUAGGUACACAAAAAGCUCAAGAAAAUCAUUGACAGCAUAAAAACGUUCAACUCAUUUAGUCGCACAUAAUUGUUUUAAUGAUUUUUUAGUUAUACAUUUUUGACUUUCUUCGAUUUGACUUUUCAACACAUCUUUUCGCUUUGGAAGAUGAAUAAGAAAUAGCAAGGUUUAAAACAUGAACAGCACAAUGAACAAACGUCGCAAGCGGAUAACUAUGGUGAAUAAGAGAUUGAGCUCCGUUAAAUUGACCAGACAUAGAAGCACAUCCAUCGUAACACUGUCUUCUAAGUAGUACCUAUUGUAAGCAUAAACUGAAGAAUUCUUCCUUGAUAAUCAUAUUUUCAACAUCUAAAUAUCGAACACACAAAGUUACUUGUUCGCUUCCACCAAUGUCGGCCGUUUCAUCAGCAAGUAUUUUGAAACAUCUUUGGGCAUUUAUGUUUGUUACGAUUUUAUUUAAAAUAAUUUUAUUGCAGGAUUCAAUUAUUUCAUUUUAAAGUGUUU